ensembl:lncRNA
UCAGAGGAGGGGAGGUUAUUGGUUCCUCUGUGGUUGUGAGGUUUACUGUCAGAGGAGGGGAGGUUGUUGGUUCCUCUGUGGUUGUGAGGUUUAUUGCCAGAGGAGGAGAGGUUGUUGGUUCCUCUGUUGUUCUGAUGGCUGUAGCACAAAGACAGACAAACAGAAAGACAGAGAUGUGUUGAUUGGUUGGUAAUUGUCUCAAACAUGCAUUUCAACUAGCAUCUGUAAAUAACAGUAAGACUAGCAGAACACCAGAAAGGGGAUCAUUAACCUCAUGCUGUAGUGAAACUGUACCCACCACUUGUGUUUCCAACCCUGACGAUCAGGCAGCGCAGCUCAGAGUGAUACAUGGAACUGAGAAGAUCAACAGAACAACUGUUAAACUGUUCAGAUCUUUGUUAAACGGCAUUUGAUAAAACAUUACAAACCAAACAAACCACAUUCCAUUGGUUUAAAAAAAUGUGUCAAAACCAAACAAACCACAUUCCAUUGGUUUAAAAAAAUGUGUCAAAACCAAACAAACCACAUUCCAUUGGUUUAAAAAAAUGUGUCAAAACCAAACAAACCACAUUCCAUUGGUUUAAAAAAAUGUGUCAAAACCAAACAAACCACAUUCCAAUGGACUGGGGGGCAGUAUUGAGUAGCUUGGAUGAAUAAGGUGCCCAGAGUAAACUGCCUGCCACUCAGGCCCAAAAGCUAGAAUAUACAUAUAAUUAGUGGAUGUGGAUAGCAAACACUCUGAAGUUUCUAAAACUGUUUGAAUGUUGUCUGUGAGUAUAACAGGACUCAAAUGGCAGGCGAAAACCUGAGGAAAAAAUUUCAACCAGGAAGUGGGAAAUCUGAGGUGUGAAGUUUUUAGUUGCAUGGUGUGCUUUUACCGUAACAGUUUUUUGAAAUCAGACACUGAGAACGAGAAGUUGAUCUUUAAAAUCUAUAAAAUGGUGUAUAAUACUUGUAUGUUUGUUUAAUUUUGAGAUUUCUUUUGUUUUGAAUUUGACGCCACGCAAUUUUACUGGCUGUUGGCGAAGUGGGACGUUACCGUCCCACAUAUCCCAGAGAAGUAAAUGAAACAUGUGAAAACCAAACAAACCACUUACCAUUGAAGGGAAAGGCAGGUUAAAACCAAACAGACCACUUACCAUUGAAGGGAAAGGCAGGUUAAAACCUAGUCAGUUGCACAACUGAAUGGAUUCUACCAAAAUGUGUCUAAAUGUACAUUCAACUGAUCGUCUUGAUAGUAGCCUACAGAAAUGAUGCAUUAUGUCACUUUGUUUUGUGCCUUUAUUUAAUCAGGUAAGUCAUUAUGUUGUGCUAUAAGUUUCCAGUUGAAGUGGCAGCAGACUGACCUGUCGUUCACUCCCUGAGCGAUGAAGCACACAGGAUAGUACCCUCCCUCCUCAUCCUCAGUGGGCGUCCACCUUAGAAGGUAUUCUCCUGGGACAGUGGUGUUCUCUGUGAUACUGGAAGGUCCACUCACCAACAGCUCUGAAACCCUGAA